GACGAACGCUGGCGGCGUGCUUAACACAUGCAAGUCGAACGGAAAGGCCCUGCUUUUGUGGGGUGCUCGAGUGGCGAACGGGUGAGUAACACGUGAGUAACCUGCCCCUGACUUUGGGAUAACUUCAGGAAACUGGGGCUAAUACCGGAUAGGAGCUCCUGCUGCAUGGUGGGGGUUGGAAAGUUUCGGCGGUUGGGGAUGGACUCGCGGCUUAUCAGCUUGUUGGUGUGGUAGUGGCUUACCAAGGCUUUGACGGGUAGCCGGCCUGAGAGGGUGACCGGCCACAUUGGGACUGAGAUACGGCCCAGACUCCUACGGGAGGCAGCAGUGGGGAAUAUUGCACAAUGGGCGGAAGCCUGAUGCAGCAACGCCGCGUGCGGGAUGACGGCCUUCGGGUUGUAAACCGCUUUCGCCUGUGACGAAGCGUGAGUGACGGUAAUGGGUAAAGAAGCACCGGCUAACUACGUG
rnacentral:rRNA from 1 species